AACGGACGCUGGCGGCAUGCCUAACACAUGCAAGUCGAACGAAGGCUUCGGCCUUAGUGGCGCACGGGUGCGUAACGCGUGGGAAUCUGCCCUUAGGUUCGGAAUAACAGUUAGAAAUGACUGCUAAUACCGGAUGAUGACGCAAGUCCAAAGAUUUAUCGCCUGAGGAUGAGCCCGCGUAGGAUUAGCUAGUUGGUGUGGUAAAGGCGCACCAAGGCGACGAUCCUUAGCUGGUCUGAGAGGAUGAUCAGCCACACUGGGACUGAGACACGGCCCAGACUCCUACGGGAGGCAGCAGUGGGGAAUAUUGGACAAUGGGCGCAAGCCUGAUCCAGCAAUGCCGCGUGAGUGAUGAAGGCCUUAGGGUUGUAAAGCUCUUUUACCCGUGAUGAUAAUGACAGUAGCGGGAGAAUAAGCCCCGGCUAACUCCGUG
rnacentral:rRNA from 1 species